AAUCAACUUCUUUUUUUAUCAGCCAUCCAGUCUUUGGUAUUUCGUUAUAGCAUCUCGAGUGGCCCAAGACCCCCAGCCAGAGAGCAGUACAGCUGGAAGUCACAGCACCUCACAUGCCCACUCUUCCAUCUCAUCCUCCCCAAAAUACCUGAGAUAGGUGGUUGCCGUUUUCAGAUGAAGAAACAGUUCCAUAAGUUAAGUGACUUGCUGAGGAUACAAUUAAUUUCAGGAGAUGUUUUCAUUCCAUUUAGAAACCAGACCUUAUCAUUGAUUAUUUAGAUGUGUUUCUUUUCCUUUCCUUAGGCCUUACAAUCUGGUGACAUGCCAAGAGAAUGCAAUGGGAUCAGAUCCCUAUGUUGAAACCCUAAGCCCCAAUGUGGCUGAAGAUGGAGCCUCUAAAGAACUUAUGAGGGAAGUACGAUUGUCAAUACCUCCGCUUUUCAGAAGAGGCAACUGAGCUAUGAAGAUAACCUGCCCAGGGUCACAUAUCUGGAAGUCAGUAUGAAGAAAGAGGCAGCAUGGUUUAACUGAAAAAGCACAGGUUUGAUGUCAGACAGACCUGCAUGGCUCCACCACUUACCAACUGCGUGACCCCUGGAGCCCAUGCUGUUAUGAGAUGCUGUUGAAGACUCUGGUUUACCCAGAUGCAUGUCAGUGAAAACAGCCUUUCUGUGAAGAGAAUGAGACUUCUGAGGAUGAAUGGACCUGUGGGAAAAGGAGAUCCUUUUGCAGAGUUUGGAAAAAGAAAAAAUAAAGCCAUUUGCCCUGCAGGGAUGACAGAACACUUUCUUUCCUAAUCAGUGGGUCACCACCUCUGUGCUAUGUUGGGGGAGACAUCAUCUAAUUCUAAGCCUAAGGCUGGGUCAUCAGAUACACUGUCUUCUCUGGACCCUUCUCUGAGCUUCCUGUACCAGUUUUCAUCAACAAAUUUCUCUGCUUCCUUGGACCAGCUGAAAAGAAGUUAUGAGCUCUCUCCAUCAUUUGCCAAACUCCUAGGCCUUUCCUCCUUUGAAAUCUUCUUAUUUGGGGUCUUUUUUCCUUUCCAUGUUUCUUCUCCUCUCUCCACAACCUUUUUAUCUCUGGAGAGUUCUGUCUGUGCCUCUGGGCCUCUCUCUUUCUAUUUAGUUUUCAGAACCCAUUCUGGGAUUCUAUUUUAGUCCAUCUAUCUCUCCAACUGACCAUGGUUGAAACCAGGGAGCGUAAUCAGUCCCAGCUGCUGGAGGCGUAGGCUUUGGUUCUGCCCCGCAUCAUCGCCUCAUUGUGGGCUGAUAUUUUCUGUUUCCCAUAAUGCUCCAGGAGAACUGCCUGUUCAGAGCUCAGAUUGUGCUUUUUCUCCUCCUGCCAAGGAGCCAUGCUUUCAAAACCCAGAUUAUAAAGAUGGGACAUUAAAAAAAAAUGAAUUUAUACUAUCUCAGCAUUUCCAUUUCCAAUAGCAGAGUUCUCAUGCUUUGAUAAUUCCAGAGUGAGAACACAAAUUGUUAAGUGGAUUGUGAGGGAGGAUUCUAGUUGGAGAUAAAGCUUCUCUCCUUUGAGGUCUCUUGCUGUUCCCUGCACCCCCCUCCUAGAUUUUCUCACUCUGUACUGAUACGGUCUAUUUACAUGACCCUGUUUCACCCUCCAGUCAGAGGGCUUGGAGGACAGGGACUCUGUCUCUCAGGCUGCCAGCCCCAUAGGUGAUCAACAUGUAUAUGGAUUAAAGAUCUUUUUCUCCUCCUGAAGAUUUGUCUUCAAGCUGAGCCACCCACUGAAUAUGUCUUGAGAUCCUGGGUGGUUUCAAAGGAUUCCAGCUGAGAAGAGCCUUGCUGAGGGGGAGGCAAGCAGAGAAGGAAGAUGUAGGAGAGAAGGAGGAGGGCAGCAGAGCAUGGCCCCAGAAGUCAGGACUGGAGUGAAUGCUGCUGAAAUAGAACCAGAGGGAAGGAUCCCUUUAGUCCUCCCAUCUCAGAGGACCUGACUGUUUCCUUCAAAUCUCCCCAUUUUCAGGGAUAAUAAAAUUGAUAACGAAGAUGAUAACAGUGGUGAAUAAUUGAUACUGAUACCGUCUUGUUCUAAAU